rnacentral:tRNA from 4 species
GGGGUUAUAGCUCAGUGGUAGAGCAUCGGUUUUGCAUACCGAGGGUCGCCGGUUCGAGUCCGGCUAACUCCA